rnacentral:tRNA from 1 species
UAGCUCAGUUAGUUAUAGCAUGGUGCUAAUAACACCAAGGUUGCAGGUUCAAGCCCUGU